rnacentral:rRNA from 1 species
UGGGGAAUCUUCCGCAAUGGGCGAAAGCCUGACGGAGCAAUGCCGCGUGGAGGUAGAAGGCCCCCGGGUCGUAAACUCCUUUUCUCGGAGAAGAAGCAGUGACGGUAUCCGAAGAAUAAGCAUCGGCUAACUCUGUGCCAGCAGCCGCGGUAAGACAGGGGAUGCAAGCGUUAUCCGGAAUGAUUGGGCGUAAAGCGUCUGUAGGUGGCUCCUUAAGUCCGCUGUCAAAUCCCAGGGCUCAACCCUGGACAGGCGGUGGAAACUACUAAGCUGGAGUACGGUAGGGGCAGGGGGAAUUUCCGGUGGAGCGGUGAAAUGCGUAGAGAUCGGAAAGAACACCAAAGGCGAAGGCACCCUGCUGGGCCGACACUGACACUGAGAGACGAAAGCUAGGGGAGCGAAUGGG